rnacentral:rRNA from 1 species
AACGCGUGGGUAACCUGCCUUAUACAAGGGGAUAACAGAGGGAAACUUCUGCUAAUACCGUAUAAAAAUAUUUCACGCAUGUGAGAUAUUUGAAAGAUUUAUCAGUAUAAGAUGGACCCGCGUCUGAUUAGGUAGUUGGUGAGGUAGAGGCUCACCAAGCCGACGAUCGGUAGCCGAUCUGAGAGGAUGACCGGCCACAUUGGGACUGAGACACGGCCCAAACUCCUACGGGAGGCAGCAGUGGGGAAUAUUGGACAAUGGGGGCAACCCUGAUCCAGCGACGCCGCGUGAGUGAAGAAGUAUUUCGGUAUGUAAAGCUCUAUCGAUAACGGAAGAAGAUGACAAGCCGUUAAGGAAGAAGCCCCGGCUAACUACGUGCCAGCAGCCGCGGUAAUACGUAGGGGGCAAGCGUUAUCCGGAUUUACUGGGUGUAAAGGGAGCGUAGACGGCAUAUAAAGUCUGAAGUGAAAACCCGCAGCUCAACUGCGGAGUUGCUUUGGAAACUUAUAAGCUGGAGUGUCGGAGGGGUAAGCGGAAUUCCCAGUGUAGCGGUGAAAUGCGUAGAUAUUGGGAGGAACACCGGAGGCGAAGGCGGCUUACUGGAAGAUAACUGACGUUGAGGCUCGAAGGCGUGGGUAGCAAACAGGAUUAGAUACCCUGGUAGUCCACGCAGUAAACGAUGAAUACUAGGUGUCGGGAGGGAAUAACCUUUUCGGUGCCGUCGCAAACGCAAUAAGUAUUCCACCUGGGGAGUACGUUCGCAAGAAUGAAACUCAAAGGAAUUGACGGGGACCCGCACAAGCGGUGGAGCAUGUGGUUUAA